CACGUAGGGCGCAAGCGUUGUCCGGAAUUAUUGGGCGUAAAGAGCUCGUAGGCGGUCUGUUGCGUCCGCUGUGAAAACUCGGGGCUUAACCCCGAGCCUGCAGUGGAUACGGGCAGACUAGAGGUAGGUAGGGGAGAAUGGAAUUCCCGGUGUAGCGGUGAAAUGCGCAGAUAUCAGGAGGAACACCAAUGGCGAAGGCAGCACUCUGGGACGUGACUGACGCUGAGACGCGAAAGCGUGGGGAGCGAACAGG
rnacentral:rRNA from 1 species